GAUUUCAACUGAAAAAGUCAUCAAUAACAAAGUGGUAUAACUCAUCAAGAUCUAUAACUUUUAUUUGGGUUAUUUCUUCAUCCGAUAAAGUGAUUUAUAAGAUCGUUCACAAAAUGUACAUAUCUCUUAUAUAGUUUAUAGACUAUAGGAGAUAUAUGUAAAUUUUGUGAAUAAUAUUACUAUCACUUUAUCGGAUGAAGAAAUGACCAAAAUAAAAGUUAUAGAUAUUGAUGAGUUAUACAACUUUAUUGUUGAUGACUUUUUCAGUUGAAAUC
rnacentral:pre_miRNA from 1 species